rfam:Drosophila mojavensis strain TSC#15081-1352.22 Ctg01_10148, whole genome shotgun sequence.
UGCAGGCGCACUCUGUGUCACAUUGAAUUGCCUCGUGUGAUGACAAUUUGUUAACCUUGCUAGAGUAAAUUGAUGAAGCUGCGAUUUAUCCAUGUGAUCCUGUACCUCAAAUGGAUUACAUUGAAAACUCGGCUUACACUCG